UACAGAGGGGGCAAGCGUUGUUCGGAAUUACUGGGCGUAAAGGGCGCGUAGGCGGCCUGCUAAGUCGAACGUGAAAUCCCCCGAGCUCAACUCGGGAACUGCGUCCGAUACUGACAGGCUUGAAUCCGGGAGAGGGAUGCGGAAUUCCAGGUGUAGCGGUGAAAUGCGUAGAUAUCUGGAGGAACACCGGUGGCGAAGGCGGCAUCCUGGACCGGCAUUGACGCUGAGGCGCGAAAGCUAGGGGAGCAAACGGG
rnacentral:rRNA from 1 species